UGGGAUCUAAUCUUUUAUUUUCUUUUAAUGACUAUGAAAUUAGUAAUAAGUGAAGUCCUACUCCAAUCCUUACUCAAAAAGGAAAAAGUUUAUAGUCCUAUCCAGAUUGGUUAAUAGUUAUAAAACUAAAAGAGGGCUUGAAAGAACCUAAGAUGUACAGACAUGGAAGUGCCACACGCCAUAUAAUAUGACAAUGUCCCAAUUUCUAGAAAAGUAGGAUAUGGUCAUGCUGGAGCAAGUGCCGAUUUACUAAGGGGCCAUCUCAACUUGAAAACUUAUUGUAUUUUUAUAUAUUUUUUCAAACUAAUUAAAUUUACACUUCAGCUUAAUGACAAAAGGAUUGUGGUUUGAAUCUUUCCAUCCCUAACUAGUUUAUAUUUUUUAUUAUAAAAAGUAGACUCUUAUGUUUUCAUUAAACUUUUUAUCUUAAUAAAAAUGAUUUUUAUUCCCUCGAUACAUUUAAAUUUAACUGUGGGAUAAAGAAGGUUAAAAUAAGAUUUUGAUCUUCAUAUUUUGGGACUCAUUUUAUUCAAGUUCACAUACUUCCUAGAAAUUCAAAUUUAGUUCUUGUAUUUUAACACAUCUUUGGAUUAGUUUCUCGUUAUAAUUUACAAAUACUUUUUAUUGAGUCUAAAUUUAUUUUGGUAAAGUUAACCUGAUAGUGGUUAAUUUUAAAAUUAAUAAAAGCACAUGGUUUUAUACUUGAACAUUUAAAUUAUGUGGAGUAGUGUUAUGUUGGCCAUCUUCUGUAAAAUAUGACUGAAAUAUAAGAAAAAAGGGCUGUAUUUUUCCUCUAAUGCAUUUUGAGUCUGUAAUCCAUCAAACCUCCACCCGUUAAAGAUCUAAUCAACCCAUCUUCCUCUGCUUCACUCUCCUCCCCUUCUUCUCUCUCUUCUUCAGCAAGAUCAGGGUCAAGAGCAAACUUCAAGAGACAGAAAUCUCCCAAGCCGCAUACACAUUUUUUCAAGUUAUUCCCUAAACAUUUCGCUAGAAGGAGAUUGAAGGGAGCUUCUGUUAAAAAUUCCCCAAAGUCUAAGCUAUUUGCAGACUAAAACCCGGACUUGUUAGAGUCAAAUUGUGCCCACUCUCAAGCCCCUUCUCACUCCAACAGGUCAAACCCCCAGCCCCCCUCUCAUCCCCAACUCUGUUUUCUCCUUUCCUAACUCUAAAGAUCAAAUUCUUGAGAGGCACUCCAAUCCUCACCCUGGCUCCUCCCUAAAAAAGGGGAGUCUCAAGUUUGAUUCGCCAUUUAGCAUGAGUAGCGAGGAACUCUCUUAUAGGAAGGUCUACUGGGAAGGAACCUCAGCUUGAGAAAUACUCUCUGCAACCAGUUCUCAAAGCUUGGUUCUAUCUAGAGGAGGCCCCAACCCCUUGAUAAACAAAAUUCAGAAGCUGGAUUAAAUGAUCUAAUACAGAAACCUCCACUUCAAAACUUCGAAAAGAAAGAAACAGAAUCUGUACUUCAAGACUCUCAGCACCAAAUUCCACCUCAUUUGAAGUCUUUUGCUGACAAAUGUAAACUUAUUUUGGCUUGAUUUCGUUUAGUAGAUCAAUUUGAGGUUUUAAUGAAAAUUAUCUUGUGGAACAUGAGAGGCCUGAAGGAUGCAAACAAGAGAUUGGCACUCAAGAGAUUCCUAAAAAAGCAUAACCUGGAUUUGGUACUUAUUCAAUAAUCAAAGAAAGAAAAUUUUGAAUUGUGUUUUAUAAAAUCACUAUAGAGCUCAAAGGACAUUGGAUGGGAUUUUGUUGAAUUAUUUGGAACCACAGGAGGAAUGUUGACAAUGUGGGACACAAAUAAGUUAUCGCCAUCGGUCACUGAAAUGCUACAAGGAAAUUUGUAUGGCCCGGACUACUAAUUCUCUUGGAUUAUUGUAUGGAAGCUUGGUGUUUUGGAGGUGACUUCAACAUCACAAGAUGGGUGCAUGAAAGAUUUCCACUAGGGAGAACAACUAGAGGCAUGCGGCUGUUUAAUAACUUCCUUGAAAAAGCUAAACUGUUGGAAAUUCCCCUUGGAAAUGACAGGUUUACUUGGUCACGGAAAGGGGCUUCAGUUGCAAGAUUAUUCUUGGACAGAUUUGUCAUUAACAAGGCUUGGGAUGUUGAAUUCGAAAACACAAGAGCUUCUAGGCAAGCUUGUUUAUUCUCUGAUCAUUUUCCCUUAUUGCUUGAGGCCGGAUCAGUUACUUGGGGGCCCUCCCCCUUCAGAUUUUGCAACAGCUGGUUGCUCGACAAAGACUGAGAUUUGGCAGUUGAAAGAGCAUGGGUUAACAGUGGUUCAGAACGCUGGGCAGCUUUUGUUCUUAAUGCCAAGUUGAGAAGGGUUGAACUUGCAGUUAAAGCUUGGGUGGCUUAAUUCUAGAAAAAUCAAAUAAGAAGAGAAGAAGAGCUGACUCAAGAAAUUGAAAGUGGGAUGCUUUGGCAGACUCGCUUCGUCUUUCAGAACUUGAACUAGAAUCCAAAUCUUCAUUUAAGGCGGAGUUGAUGUUUUGGUGAUUAAUCUAAUUUAGAAAAGCAAGUUGAACUGGAUCUGUUUAGGGGACGGAAACGCUAGAUUCUUCCACAGAUUUCUCACAACUCAAAAGGGGAAGAACCUGAUUAGUGAGUAUGUUAAUGACUUUGGGGGAGCCAACCAGCCAACCAACUCCUUUACAGAAAUUGAAAGCUUAAUCUGGAGUUUUAUACUAGGCUCUUCCCCAAAAGCCCGGGUCCGAGAUGUUAACCCACAAACUUCGACUGGCUUUGUGUAAUUCCCUUUUAGAAUGUUAUGCUCAUAGCAAAGUUCUCCAAAUUGGAGAUUAAAGCAACUGUUAACUCCCUUGGAAAGUGGAAAACCCCAGGUCCAGACGGUUUCACGACUGAAUUCCUAAUAAGUAUUGGAAUUUAGUCAAGUUGAACUUCAUUUGGUUUUUGACGAUUUUCAUAGAAAUAAAAAACAAAAUGCUUGUGUUCGGGAGAACUUCAUUUUCUUAAUCCAGAAAAAGGAAAAUGCAGUGGUUAUCAAAGACUUCAGGCCAAUUAGUCUUACGACUAUAACCUACAAGGUUAUUGCCAAGGUGCUAGUCAAGAGACUUAAAAAGGUAAUGUUGUGCAUCAUUGCCCCAUCGCAAAGUGCUUUCAUAGAAGGAAGGAAAAUACUCGAUCCGAUCCUUGUUGCUAAUUUAAUUGUUGAGGAAUACAUGGCAAAGGAAAAAGAAAGGAUGGCUUCUCAAGCUUGAUCUAGAAAAAGCUUUUGACAGGGUUGAUUGGGACUUCUUCAAACAAAUCAUGAGUAAGAAGUUUGACCAUAAGUGGAUUGAAUGGAUCUUGGGUUGUGUUAAGAACCCGAGAUACUCAGUAUUCAUCAAUAGAAGACCGAGAGGAAGAGCGUUGGCCGCAGAGGGAAUCAGGCAAGGUGACCCCCUUUCACCCUUCCUCUUCAUACUUGUAAGUGAAGUCCUUAGUGCUCUAAUUGAAAAUCUACAUCAGAAUGGCCUUUAUGAAGGUUUUGUAGUGGGAAAGGACAAGAUUCAUGUUCCAAUCCUUCAAUUUGCAGAUGACACCCUACUUUUUUGCAAAUACGACUGCAACAUGUUAGUAACUUUGAAACAGACAAUAGAGGUUUUUGAAUGGUGCUCCAGCCAAAAGGUGAACUGAGACAAGUCGGCCCUUUUUGGAUAAAUGUGGAAGAGAUGGAAUUGUUGUCCACCGUGGCCUCUUUAGGUUGCAAAGCAGAACACCUCCUUUGAUCUACCUCGGUUUGCCAUUGGGGGUACUUGAAACUAUCCUUUUUUUGGCAACCAAUGCUUGAUAAAACCCAACUAAAGUUAGAUAAAUAGAAGAGGUUUAACCUCUCGACAGGGGGGCAAGCUACGCUUUGUAAGUCUGUUCUUUCCAACUUUCCCACUUAUUACAUGUCUAUAUUCCUAAUGCCAGAAGAAGUCACUUCAAUAUUGGAAAGAAUCCUGAGGAAUUUCUUUUGGAAGGGCCAUAAGGGCAGCAAAUUAAACCACCUUGUUAAUUGGAAAGUGGUCCACGAAGCCUUGAUGGAUGGUGGCCCUUGGCCUUGGUGGCUUCAAAUCUAAAAACUUGGCUCUUCUAGCCAAAUGGGGGUGGAGAUACAUGGAAGAAGACUCUUUGUGGUGCAAGGUUAUCAGGAGUAUCCAUGACAAAGAUUCCUUUAAUUGGCAUACCGCCGGAAAAGAAGGCAAAUGCUUGAGAAGCUCUUGGGUUAUUAUUUCCAGAACUUGGUUGAAAAUGGAAGCUUUAGCCAGCUUUAGCUUGGGAAAUGGGAGAAGGAUAGCUUUUUGGUUAGAUCUCUGGGAGGGAGUGACCAUUUCAUCUAGCCUUUCCACAGUUGUUCAGAAUAGCUUUAGUCACAAAAUGUUCGGUUGCUGAUCAGUGAGACUCUGCAUUAUCAUCUUGGUCCCUAAUCUUCUGCCGUUUGCUAAAAGAUGAAGAGAUUUCAGACUUCCAAGUACUGCUUUGAAAAUUAGCAUCCAGAAAUAUUUCUGAAGUUCAAGACAGACAAAUAUGGUCUCCUGGCGGCAGGAGAAAAUUUACAGGGAAGUCCCUUACACUUCACCUGUCUGCUUCCUCCCAUUUGGAUAAAUUCCUCUAUAACGGCCCUUUGGAAGUCUAAUAGCCCGAGAAGGGUUAAUAUCUUCAUUUGGAUCACCCUGAUAGGUCAACUAAAUGUGUCCUCAGCUUUGCAACAUAAAUUGCCUAAUAGUUGCCUCUCUCCCUCCAUUUGCCCGCUGUAUCUACAACAUGAAGAAGAUUGCCAACACUUGUUCUUCCGCUGCAACUUUCCGGCCAAUUGUUGGGAAAGGCUGCUCAACUCUUUAAUAUGACCUGGGCGUUUGGUGCAACUUUUUGUGAUAAUGUGAUGCCUCUGUUAAUCCAGCUCAUGUCUAAAUAGAGGAACUUCUUUACUUUGGGUUAACACGGUGAAAGCUAUACCGGCAGAAAUCUGGUUUGAGAGGAAUCAAAGGGUGUUCAUGAUAAAUCUCUUGAUUGGAAGGGAUCACUUUGAAAACGUGCAUCAAAAUACCUCCUCAUGGUGUUAGGCCUCAAAGAUCUUCAGCAGCUACAGCAUCCAAGAGCUCAACUUAAAUUGGAGUGCCUUCAUUUCUCCAGCUUGAUUAUUCCCCAAUGUGUCUGGGCUUCUGGUUUUUUCUUUUUUUGGUUGUACGCAAUCUUUAUAGCUUUCCUCCUUUUGUUUCGGAGUCUCUUUCUUCUCCUACUAGUUAUCUUGUAAGCCCUUGUUUAACUCUCUUGUACAUUGAAUUUUUUGCCUCAUCAUGAAUAUUAAUAAAGCUACUCGUUUCCAUUUAAAAAA